UACGAAGGGGGCUAGCGUUGCUCGGAAUCACUGGGCGUAAAGCGCACGUAGGCGGCUUACUAAGUCAGGGGUGAAAUCCUGGAGCUCAACUCCAGAACUGCCUUUGAUACUGGUGAGCUGAGUCCGGAAGAGGUGAGUGGAACUGCGAGUGUAGAGGUGAAAUUCGUAGAUAUUCGCAAGAACACCAGUGGCGAAGGCGGCUCACUGGUCCGGUACUGACGCUGAGGUGCGAAAGCGUGGGGAGCAAACAGG
rnacentral:rRNA from 1 species